ensembl:snRNA U6 U6 spliceosomal RNA
GUGCUCGCUUCAGCAGCACAUGUACCAAAACUGGAACGAUAAGCGAUCAGCACAGCCCCUGCUCAAGGAUGACACGCAGGUUUGUGAAGUGUUCCAUAUUACA